rnacentral:rRNA from 1 species
AAACGCUUGAAGUCAGUCACGUUGGCUAGAAAUCAACCUUGCUCCUGCUGGGCGUACUUUCUGGUCAACGGGUCAGCAUCAAUUUUGACCAUUGGAAAAAGUUCAGAGGAAUGUGGCAUCUUCGGGUGUGUUAUAGCCUCUGUUCGCAUACAAUGGUUGGGAUUGAGGAUCUCAGCACGCCGCAAGGCCGGGUUUCGACCACGUUCGUGCUUAGGAUGCUGGCAUAAUGGCUUUAAUCGA